CCUACGGGUGGCAGCAGUGGGGAAUAUUGGACAAUGGGGGGAACCCUGAUCCAGCGACGCCGCGUGAGUGAAGAAGUAUUUCGGUAUGUAAAGCUCUAUCAGCAGGGAAGAAAGACAUGACGGUCCCUUACUACGAAGCCCCUGCUAACUACGUGCCAGCAGCCGCGGUACUACGUAGGGGGCAAGCGUUAUCCGGAUUUAAUGGGUGUAAAGGGAGCGUAGACGGGGAUGCAAGUCUGAAGUGAAAGGCGGGGGCCCAACGCCUGGACUGCUUUGGAAACUGUAGGGCUGGAGUGCAGGAGAGGUAAGUGGAAUUCCUAGUGUAGCGGUGAAAUGCGUAGAUAUUAGGAGGAACACCAGUGGCGAAGGCGGCUUACUGGACUGUAACUGACGUUGAGGCUCGAAAGCGUGGGGAGCAAACAGGAUUAGAUACCCUUGUAGUC
rnacentral:rRNA from 1 species